rnacentral:rRNA from 1 species
GAUGAACGCUAGCGGCAGGCCUAAUACAUGCAAGUCGGACGGGAUUCAGGAGCUUGCUUCUGAUGAGAGUGGCGCACGGGUGCGUAACACGUAUGUAACCUACCUUUAUCAGGGGGAUAGCCUCUCGAAAGAGAGAUUAAGCCCGCAUAAAAUCACAGCACAGCAUUGUGUAAUGAUCAAAUAUUUAUAGGAUAAAGAUGGGCAUGCGGAACAUUAGCUAGAUGGCGGGGUAACGGCCCACCAUGGCGACGAUGUUUAGGGGAUCUGAGAGGAUGGCCCCCCACACUGGUACUGAGACACGGACCAGACUCCUACGGGAGGCAGCAGUAAGGAAUAGUGGUCAAUGGGCGGAAGCCUGAACCAGCCAUGCCGCGUGCAGGAAGACGGCCCUACGGGUUGUAAACUGCUUUUAUACGGGAAUAAACCCAGAUACGUGUACCUGGCUGAAUGUACUGUAAGAAUAAGAAUCGGCUAACUCCGUG